rnacentral:rRNA from 1 species
AUACGGAGGGUGCAAGCGUUAUCCGGAUUUAUUGGGUUUAAAGGGUGCGUAGGCGGUUUGAUAAGUCAGCGGUGAAAUAUUUCAGCUUAACUGGAAGGGUGCCGUUGAUACUGUCGAGCUUGAAUUUAGUUGCUGUGGGUGGAAUGUGUGGUGUAGCGGUGAAAUGCAUAGAUAUCACACAGAAUAUCGAUUGCGAAGGCAGCUCACAAAGCUAAUAUUGACGCUGAUGCACGAAAGUGUGGGGAUCAAACAGGAUUAGAUACCCUGGUAGUCCACACUGUAAACGAUGAUAACUCGCUGUCGGCGAUACAUAGUCGGUGGCCAAGCGAAAGCGAUAAGUUAUCCACCUGGGGAGUACGACCGCAAGGUUGAAACUCAAAGGAAUUGACGGGG